AGUGAACGCUGGCGGUAGGCCUAACACAUGCAAGUCGAACGGCAGCACAGUAAGAGCUUGCUCUUACGGGUGGCGAGUGGCGGACGGGUGAGGAAUACAUCGGAAUCUACUUUUUCGUGGGGGAUAACGUAGGGAAACUUACGCUAAUACCGCAUACGACCUACGGUUGAAGGCAGGGGAUCUUCGGACCUUGCGCGAUUGAAUGAGCCGAUGUCGGAUUAGCUAGUUGGCGGGGUAAAGGCCCACCAAGGCGACGAUCCGUAGCUGGUCUGAGAGGAUGAUCAGCCACACUGGAACUGAGACACGGUCCAGACUCCUACGGGAGGCAGCAGUGGGGAAUAUUGGACAAUGGGCGCAAGCCUGAUCCAGCCAUACCGCGUGGGUGAAGAAGGCCUUCGGGUUGUAAAGCCCUUUUGUUGGGAAAGAAAAGCAGCAGGUUAAUACCCCGCUGUUCUGACGGUACCCAAAGAAUAAGCACCGGCUAACUUCGUG
rnacentral:rRNA from 1 species